AACCUCCGCAAUGUGAGAAAUCGCGACGGGGGGAUCCCAAGUGCCAUUCUUAACGGGAUGGCUUUUCAUUAGUGUAAAAAGCUUUUGGAAUAAGAGCUGGGCAAGACCGGUGCCAGCCGCCGCGGUAACACCGGCAGCUCUAGUGGUAGCAAUUUUUAUUGGGCCUAAAGCGUCCGUAGCCGGUUUAAUAAGUCUCUGGUGAAAUCCUGUAGCUUAACUGUGGGAAUUGCUGGAGAUACUAUUAGACUUGAGACCGGGAGAGGUUAGAGGUACUCCCAGGGUAGAGGUGAAAUUCUGUAAUCCUGGGAGGACCGCCUGUUGCGAAGGCGUCUAACUGGAACGGUUCUGACGGUGAGGGACGAAAGUUAGGGGCGCGAACCGGAUUAGAUACCCGGGUAGUCCUAACCGUAAACGAUGCGGACUUGGUGUUGGGAUGGCUUUGAGCUGCUCCGGUGCCGAAGGGAAGCUGUUAAGUCCGCCGCCUGGGAAGUACGGUCGCAAGACUGAAACUUAAAGGAAUU
rnacentral:rRNA from 1 species